rnacentral:tRNA from 1 species
GGAUAAGGGUACAGGGACGCGCCUCUCACGCCGGUAACCCGGGUUCGAAUCCCGGUGGGAUCACCA